CAUCUCUACAAGAGCCUUUGCAGUACGGUAAGACAAGGCAAUACGAUAAUUUAAAUCCCCAAGCCAAAUAACUCGAUCAUGCUGAAGAAUUGUUUCUGGGGACUUCUCAUCAGCCGUACUGUUAACACGUGGAAAUCUUGUCUUCUUAAGAAUCUCCAUGACAUCUGCAUUCCUUCUUAGCUCAUCACCUUCCUUCUGUCCAGAGGUUAGAUGACUACAGAUGAAACAAAAGGUUGUUUCAUUCAAGGACAUGCUGACUGAAAUAGAUCCCUUAUUUCCAAGAUAACCCAUCAAUCCUCUGCCAACACAAGAAACUUUCAUGUUUCCAACAUGAUCUCUCAAUUCACUCCGGACCCAUAUUGUGAGGAAUAUGCCAACCAUUUGCUUACUGGCCACUAAACAGUACCUUGAAUACCCUGGCCUCCUAUAUCCAUCUUCCACAAAUGUAGAUCCACUACACGAACCACCAUAGGACAUUGGUGAGUACAAUACAGUACUUGGUGAAUCCCCUGGCCCAUUAUCAUCAUCUGAUGAACCCCAUCUUGAGUAAUCACUAGGCCUGGAGUAAUCACUAGGUCUUGAAUAAUCACUAGGUCUGUGACCCCAUCUAUAACUGGGAUCGUAGUCACUUGGCCUGGGACCAAAUAUAACCCGGUCACAAACACUAUAUCGCCGAUCAAGUCUUGGUUGUGGAAUUGAAGGGUCAUUGUCCAUUCUCCAGCUGUGAGUCGUUUGGAAUGAUCGGCGAUGAAAGAAAGCAGAGUUCUUCUGCCUAGAUGAUCCCUCAAAAUCUGCAUCCAUUUCUACAAUUGGUUCAGGGAUUGGAGAUGGCGUAUAACACCCCCCACUGCCACUACUUCCUGGAAGAUUGUUUAGAGUUUUUCUAAUGAGGGCCAGCCAUUUUUUGGCGGGGCCAUUGUCCUCUGCACCAAGAACAUUACCAGCAUUCAAAGGAACUAUCUCUUGAAAUCCAAGAACAUAUAUGUCCGCAGGAGGUGAGGCAUGAAGCCAGUCAUCCAGACUCAAAUUACCUGAUGGGGAUCUUCCUGCCACAUUCCAUGUAGCCACAAAAAUGCUGUAGUUCUGCACGUCUAUGAUUCGAGGAUGGUCAAGAUUCAUUCUUCCUAGCCGGACCUGCUCUGGAUUCUUGCUAAAUUUCUCUGUUUUACUUUUCUUGAUAGUGCACGGCUCUCUUUCGGAGAAGCUAGUCCUGUACUCCACUUCAGCCCCUCCAUAAACAUCAUCUGCUUGGAAGUCCUCUGUUUUACACUUGAUAUUGAACCACUUUCUGACCAUUUUUUUGGACCACGAGAGCUUCAGCAAACAAAAAAGAAAACAAAAACCAAUUAACACCAUCCAAGAAUCAUCACAAUUGUUCAGUUAAACAAAAGGAAACAAAAUCCAUUGGUUUACAGGCGAACAAAGUAAAAAACCUUGCUUUUCUUGGAAUUCCCAUCUCUCAUUUUUCAGCACUACUUCAUAGAACACUUCUUGCACUUUCCACAACUCCCCAGUUUCUGGGUUUUGUUUAAUAUCACCAAAAAUUUCAGAAACUUAAGGAGUAUAACCCCAUAUCAGGAAUUCUCCUUCCCCAAUUCCUGGUUUUGCUACAACAGGCUUUGAAACGAGAAGAGGCAAAUAAGCACAGCUCUUUACUCUUUACAGACUCCAACAACCUCCCAAUGCAACCAAAAUAAAAACUCAACCAAGAGACAAAUCAACAAAUGGGCGUCUUACUUUCGACUGAAAACUCUCGAACCAACCAAAGAAAGCUCUAAUAGACCGAAGAGACCAAACAACCAACUGGUUUUCUUGAUUUCCUCUUCUAAUGCUUAUUAUAUAUAUGAAAUACUAAGGAAGAGAAAAGAAGCAAAAACCCAAAAAAUAUGAGUGUGCAAUUAGUCAAGAGAGACAAACACUUUAAUGCGUCGAAGUGAGAUGAGAUUCUUGAAGUAGAACAAGACAAUGCAGCAGACAUGAAGAGAGAGAAAAAAUAAAGCAAAUUUUAGACAGAGAAAGUGCAGAGAGGGAAAGCUUAUAAGCCCCCUCUCUCUCUAUAUAUUCCCCCUUUGAAACAAAGAGCCUCGUUCUCAGCGAACAGCAAAGUAUCGAAUUUGAACAAAAUAAAGCGUAGCAAGGGAA
rnacentral:misc_RNA from 1 species